AUGGCCAUAUCAUGUUAAAACACAUUCUCAUAUGAUCACUGAAGUUAAGCAAUGUAGAUUCUGGUCAGUACCUAGAUGGGUGACCACUUGGGAAUACCAGGUGCUGUA